rnacentral:rRNA from 1 species
GUCGAGAAUCUUUCACAAUGGGGGCAACCCUGAUGGAGCGACGCCGCGUGGAGGAUAAGGUCUUCGGAUUGUAAACUCCUGUCAUGCGUGAACAAGGUUGCUUGGUUAAUACCUGGGCAAAUUGAUGGUAACGCAAGAGGAAGAGACGGCUAACUCUGUGCCAGCAGCCGCGGUAAUACAGAGGUCUCAAGCGUUGUUCGGAAUCACUGGGCGUAAAGGGUGCGUAGGUGGCGUGGUAAGUCAGAUGUGAAAGCCCGGGGCUCAACCUCGGAACUGCAUCCGAUACUGCCAUGCUAGAGUACUGGAGAGGUGACUAGAAUUCUCGGUGUAGCAGUGAAAUGCGUAGAUAUCGAGAGGAAUACCAAAGGCGUAGGCAGGUCACUGGACAGUUACUGACACUGAGGCACGAAAGCGUGGGGAGCAAACAGGAUUAGAUACCCUAGUAGUCC